CACGUAGGGCGCAAGCGUUGUCCGGAAUUAUUGGGCGUAAAGAGCUCGUAGGCGGUCUGUUGCGUCUGCUGUGAAAACCCGGGGCUUAACCCCUGGCUUGCAGUGGAUACGGACAGACUAGAGGUAGGUAGGGGAGAAUGGAAUUCCCGGUGUAGCGGUGAAAUGCGCAGAUAAUCGGGAGGAACACCCGUGGCGAAGGCGGCUCUCUGGUACGUGACUGACGCUGAGACGCGAAAAGCGUGGGGAGCAAACAGGG
rnacentral:rRNA from 1 species